rnacentral:rRNA from 1 species
GACGAACGCUGGCGGCGUGCUUAACACAUGCAAGUCGAACGGUAAGGCCCUUCGGGGUACACGAGUGGCGAACGGGUGAGUAACACGUGGGUGAUCUGCCCUGCACUUCGGGAUAAGCCUGGGAAACUGGGUCUAAUACCGGAUAGGACCACUGCCUGCAUGUGUGGCGGUGUAAAGCUUUCGCGGUGUGGGAUGGGCCCGCGGCCUCUCAGCUUGUUGGUGGGGUGAUGGCCUACCAAGGCGACGACGGGUAGCCGGCCUGAGAGGGUGACCGGCCACGCUGGGACUGAGAUACGGCCCAGACUCCUACGGGAGGCAGCAGUGGGGAAUAUUGCACAAUGGGCGCAAGCCUGAUGCAGCGACGCCGCGUGAGGGAUGACGGCCUUCGGGUUGUAAACCUCUUUCAGCACCGACGAAGCGCAAGUGACGGUAGGUGCAGAAGAAGGACCGGCCAACUACGUGCCAGCCGCCGCCGUAA